rnacentral:tRNA from 4 species
GGCGCCAUAGCCAAGUGGUAAGGCAUGGGACUGCAAAUCCUUGACCCCCGGUUCAAAUCCGGGUGGCGCCUCCA